CCACACACUAGUCAGACACCAGUGCUUGGGAAGGAAGCAGCUGGCCUAGACUCUAAAAGGUCACCUUUUCUGGGAAAUAGUUCAUCGGUAAUUUCUUUCUUCAGGACAUCACAUCCUCCCAGCUUGCCCGUGUUGAAGAACUCCGUUUCUUUCAACCCAGGUCGCUAAUGCCUCUGUUGGAGAAUUGUUUUCCUCUCAAAACAACCAGGGGAUGAGCUGAACUGGCCAUCUUCUACCUUCCUGAAGUGCCUUCUCCUGGUCCUUUGGUCCCUUCCUUUGUCUCAGCUGCAUGUGCAAGAUUUUAUAGAAAGUAAAGACAAUCCUUCCAUUACCAGGGUAUGCAGGGCCCUGGAGGAUGUAUUGUUGGAAUUCUGUGGCUUUCUUUCCUUUAAGAAUGUACAGAAUCCCUUGCUCAGGUCUAGGAAAGGCUGCGUAAAGAACUCUGGAUUUGGAGUAAUGUCCCAGUUGACAUUCCGUAGACAAGGUAGUCAACCCUUCUCUGUAUUAUGGUAAGUCCUCAGUAUGUGUAAUUAUAUAAUUAAUUAUAGCAAACAGACAUGUUUGCU
rnacentral:lncRNA from 1 species